CCAGACCACAUCCACACCUGCGAGAACCCAGCGCCUUGCAAAGGGGGGGAGAAGUGCUGCAGAACACUUAAUGGAAUCAAAAACUGUCAGAGUCGUCAAUGGGACGUGGGUGUCAGCACAAAACCAGUAAAGCUACCAAUUAAAAUAUCCUUGGACACCAAGCUGAAUAGGUGUUCUUAUACACUGGUCAUGCUUUAAAAAAAAAAGUUAUCUCCAGAGGGAAGGAAACUACACCCACCCAGAACAUUUCGGGAUAAUUUACAUUAAAGGCACCAAAGAGUAUUGUAAACACAGUGAUGUGACAAAUGCAAACUGAUUUCUACCAUGAUCUCCUGUAUAAUUUUACAAUGUGCAAGAGAGAUUAGAGUCUUUAAAAUAUAUAAAAUAUUAAUGUAUUCUUUAAUAUUUGCUACUCCUGUUUUAUGAGGAACAUGUUAAAAUUAAAGGUUUUAAAAAUU